rnacentral:lncRNA from 1 species
CGGAAGGGACCGCUGGAGAUGAUGGAGUCGCACCCGCCGCUCCAGCAGGUUCCUUUCUGUGGCCCUCCUCCGGACACACACCAGGAAGUCCGUGUCUCUCCUGUGCUGAGGACUGGAUAUGGUGAGAUCUGGAUACGGUGCUCCAGGCCGCGUGCUGUACAAGAGGCGCUGCCACCUCCUGGCUGAGCUCUUCAGGCAGAAGCGCAGAGCACGUAUCACCUGCCAUCCCCCUGCUAGCUCAGGAGAUGCAGUUUGGAUUCAGUCGGUGCACCCUGGAUUCCUCUUGGUAGCUUGCAGAGGUUAGCUGAUCCCUGUAUGGAAGAUGCGUGGUUCCUUCAGUUUGG